UACAGAGGGUGCAAGCGUUGUUCGGAAUCAUUGGGCGUAAAGGGCGUGUAGGCGGUCUGUUAAGUCAUGUGUGAAAUCCCUCGGCUCAACCGGGGAACGACGCAUGAAACUGACAAGCUAGAGUACCAAAGAGGGGGGUGGAAUUCCCGGUGUAGCGGUGAAAUGCGCAGAUAUCGGGAGGAACACCAAUGGCGAAGGCAGCUCGCUGGGACGGCACUGACGCUGAGGCGCGAAAGCGUGGGGAGCAAACAGG
rnacentral:rRNA from 1 species